rnacentral:rRNA from 1 species
CAACAGGGAUUGCCCUAGUAACGGCGAGUGAAGCGGCAACAGCUCAAAUUUGAAAUCUGGCUCUUUCAGAGUCCGAGUUGUAAUUUGCAGAGGGCGCUUUGGCUUUGGCAGCGGUCCAAGUUCCUUGGAACAGGACGUCACAGAGGGUGAGAAUCCCGUACGUGGUCGCUAGCUAUUGCCGUGUAAAGCCCCUUCGACGAGUCGAGUUGUUUGGGAAUGCAGCUCUAAAUGGGAGGUAAAUUUCUUCUAAAGCUAAAUAUUGGCCAGAGACCGAUAGCGCACAAGUAGAGUGAUCGAAAGAUGAAAAGCACUUUGGAAAGAGAGUCAAACAGCACGUGAAAUUGUUGAAAGGGAAGCGCUUGCAGCCAGACUUGCUUGCAGUUGCUCAUCCGGGCUUUUGCCCGGUGCACUCUUCUGCAGGCAGGCCAGCAUCAGUUUGGGCGGUGGGAUAAAGGUCUCUGUCACGUACCUUCCUUCGGGUUGGCCUUAUAGGGGAGACGCCAUACCACCAGCCUGGACUGAGGUCCGCGCAUCUGCUAGGAUGCUGGCGUAAUGGCUGUAAGCGGCCCGUCUUGAAACACGGACCAAGGAGUCUAACAUCUAUGCGAGUGUUUGGGUGUCAAGCCCGAGCGCGUAAUGAAAGUGAACGGAGGUGGGAACCCGCAAGGGUGCACCAUCGACCGAUCCUGAAGUUUACGGAAGGAUUUGAGUAAGAGCAUGGCUGUUGGGACCCGAAAGAUGGUGAACUAUGCUUGAAUAGGGUGAAGCCAGAGGAAACUCUGGUGGAGGCUCGCAGCGGUUCUGACGUGCAAAUCGAUCGUCAAAUUUGGGCAUAGGGGCGAAAGACUAAUCGAACU